rnacentral:rRNA from 1 species
CAGCAGUAGGGAAUCUUAGACAAUGGGGGCAACCCUGAUCUAGCCAUGCCGCGUGUGUGAUGAAGGCCCUAGGGUCGUAAAGCACUUUCGCCAGAGAUGAUAAUGACAGUAUCUGGUAAAGAAACCCCGGCUAACUCCGUGCCAGCAGCCGCGGUAAUACGGAGGGGGUUAGCGUUGUUCGGAAUUACUGGGCGUAAAGCGCACGUAGGCGGAUUAGUAAGUUAGAGGUGAAAUCCCAGGGCUCAACCCUGGAACUGCCUUUAAUACUGCUAGUCUUGAGUUCGAGAGAGGUAAGUGGAAUUCCGAGUGUAGAGGUGAAAUUCGUAGAUAUUCGGAGGAACACCAGUGGCGAAGGCGGCUUACUGGCUCGAUACUGACGCUGAGGUGCGAAAGUGUGGGGAGCAAACAGGAUUAGAUACCCUGGUAGUCCACACCGUAAACGAUGAAUGCCAGACGUCAGCAAGUAUACUUGUUGGUGUCACACCUAACGGAUUAAGCAUUCCGCCUGGGGAGUACGGUCGCAAGAUUAAAACUCAAGGGAAAUUGACGGA